CAGCAGCCGCGGUAAAACGAAGGGUGCAAGCGUUACUCGGAACUACUGGGCGUAAAGCGUGCGUAGGUGGUGGUUUAAGUCCGUUGUGAAAGCCCUGGGCUCAACCUGGGAAUUGCAGUGGAUACUGGGUCACUAGAGUGUGGUAGAGGAUAGUGGAAUUUCCGGUGUAGCAGUGAAAUGCGUAGAGAUCGGAAGGAACAUCUGUGGCGAAGGCGACUAUCUGGGCCAACACUGACACUGAGGCACGAAAGCGUGGGGAGCAAACAGGAUUAGAUACCCGUGUAGUCCCUGUCUCUUAUAC
rnacentral:rRNA from 1 species